AUCUAUAUCAUGAAAUCUCUCCCUGUGAAUUAGAUGUUGAUCCCCUAAAAUAUCCGGGUAUACCUAUUUCUAAUGUGAGAACUAGAAACAAACACUCGAAUGGGGGGAUAGAGUAAAUAGAGAAGAGGUGUGGGCGCUGCUAAGGAAAAUUAUUGAAUAUGGCUGGUAGGGUUACUCUGGUUCAGGCAUUCUUGACAAACGUCCUUGUCUUUAUGAUGUCCUUCUAUGCAACUCCUAUCAGGGAGAAAAGAGUUUUUUAUAGGGCUAUGUUUGUGUCGAAGGCUGAAGAAGACCAAAAAAUAAUAUCAUUUGGUGAAAUUGAAAACCUGCUGCCAACCCAAAGACCAGGGGGGUUAUCUAUUUUAAUGUAGAACUUAUGAAUAAAUCUAUCAUGACCAAAUAGAUCUGAAAACUAGAAACUGGAUUUGAGCUAUGGGAAGAGGUUCUUAUAAAUAAAUAUGUUGAAGGGAAAUGCAUUCUCACAUCAAGCGUAAUGUUUGAGAUUACCAUUUUUGGCCUAGCAUUUUGAAAGUUAAAGAUCUAUUUAAUCAACAUUGUAAAAAGGUGAUUAGACAUGAGGAAAUACAAGAUCCUUGGAAAGAUUGCUGGGUGGGGGAUAAACCUCUGAAACUCUCAAAUCCCAGGUUGCAUAAUCUAAGUAUGAUCAUAAUAUUUCUGUGACUGAGGUUAUUAAUAAAGCAUGGGAGCGAUUUACUUUUAGAAGAACUCUUGUGGGAAAAACCCUGGAGUUCUGGAACAAUUUGAAAUUAAGAUGUGAUGAUGUUAGAAAGUUAGGAGGAAAAGAUAAAAGCAAAUGGAUGCUCAUUGCUGAUAGAAAGUUCACUAUUAGACCUCUUUAUAAAUAUUGGAUUAAACAACUUGUGGUUUUCCUUAGAAAUUUCUACGGAAUAUCAAAGUCUGACUAUUUAAGUGUGAUUUUUUUGUAUUUCUUCACUCAAAUCACCAGGCACACAUACACAUGGAAGAUUGCUAAUGCAUUUUGUUAUAGUGAUUUUCUUGUUUCAUUGUAGCAGGCAAACUGCAUUGCUGAUAUUACCCCAAACAAAAUACUUUUGGUGGAUCAACUAGGUGUUGAAUCUGGAAAUCAGGCCGUACCCUUGUGUGUCACAUGCUUGUGCCUGAUGCUACAGGAGAUGAGACAUCGGCUGGGAUAAAGAAGCUGUGUUUGGCUGGCUGAGAGGGUCGAUGAGCUACAAAGUCAGUUGUUGAAUUGCUACCUACCUCAAAUAUGAGGUCAUAUAUCUUCUUCUAAAUGCAUGAUUUCCUUGUAUGGAUACAGUAGAGAACACUGCAGAUUCAUAGG